rnacentral:rRNA from 1 species
UACAGAGGGGGCGAGCGUUGUUCGGAAUUACUGGGCGUAAAGGGUGCGUAGGCGGCGCGGUAAGUCGGGUGUGAAAUCUCGGGGCUUAACUCCGAAACUGCAUUCGAUACUGCCGUGCUUGAGGACUGGAGAGGAGACUGGAAUUUACGGUGUAGCGGUGAAAUGCGUAGAUAUCGUAAGGAAGACCAGUGGCGAAGGCGGGUCUCUGGACAGUUCCUGACACUGAGACACGAAGGCCAGGGGAGCAAACGGG